AUGGCUGGAAGGUUGGCGUUGAUGAAGAAUGUGCUAUCUGCAAUGCCCACCUACCAAAUGAUGUCCAUCCUUCAUCCUAAAUGGCUUGAUAAAAUGAUUGAUAAAAUAAAAAGGGCAUUCUUAUGGGCGGCCUCGGACGAAGUUUCAGGAGGUAAAUGUUUGGUCAAAUGGACUUUGGUUUGUGGACCUCUUGAGCUGGGAAGCCUUGGAAUACCAGAUAUGCAGCUGCAAAGCAGAGCUUUGAGAAUGAGGCUUUGGAAGAAUGUGCACAACACUGACAAACCAUGGCACGGGCUUCCCCUCCCGAUUGAUAAGGUCAUAGAAGAGUUGUUCCGAGCCUGCACAAAGAUUCAAAUUGGUGAUGGAAGAGGCACAUUCUUUUGGCACGCCCACUGGAUGGAUGAAAUGGCGCCAAAACUAUUGUUUCCCAACCUGUUUCAACACAGCUGGCAAAGAAAUUUGCGCGUCCCGCAAUGCCUCCAGGAUAGCAGGUGGAUAUCCUUGAUCAAACCGCUCCCCCAGCUUGCAAACUCUGCGCGAAUACAUUGA
rnacentral:rRNA from 1 species